UUUUAUGAGCUGAGCUGACUAAUAGAUCUUCUAUGCCUAGUCCCUUUGUUUUGUACCAAAAAAGGAAAAAAGGAAGUGAGAAAAAAAGAAAGGAGAAAUCAGAAUGAGAAUUUAGAAGUGCAUGAUUUAAAAUGCUUAAAAGUAUUCUUAGAUUACGUGCAAGGAAUAGGGUCUAUGCAAACAAGUUAUAACCAUCCCAAUUACUAUAAGAUAUAAAUUAGAAAGCGCUCAAGGUUUUGGUUUAGUCAUAACUU
rnacentral:lncRNA from 1 species